rnacentral:rRNA from 1 species
UUGACCUCGAAUCAGGUAGGACUACCCGCUGAACUUAAGCAUAUCAAUAAGCGGAGGAAAAGAAACCAACAGGGAUUGCCCCAGUAACGGCGAGUGAAGCGGC